UACGGAGGAUGCGAGCGUUAUCCGGAUUUAUUGGGUUUAAAGGGUGCGUAGGCGGGUUAUCAAGUCAGCGGUAAAAUCGUGGAGCUCAACUCCAUCCAGCCGUUGAAACUGAUGAUCUUGAGUGGGCGAGAAGUAUGCGGAAUGCGUGGUGUAGCGGUGAAAUGCAUAGAUAUCACGCAGAACUCCGAUUGCGGAGGCAGCAUACCGGCGCCCGACUGACGCUGAAGCACGAAAGCGUGGGUAUCGAACAGG
rnacentral:rRNA from 1 species